AGAGAAUAGAUACCCGGGUAGUCCUAGCAGUAAACGGUGCACGUUUGGUGUGGGCGGGUUCAGACCCCGUCCGUGCCGGAGCUAAACGCGUUAAAAACGUGCCGCCUGGGAAGUACGGUCGCAAGAUUAAAACUCAAAGAAAUUGACGGGGCCCGCACAAGCGGUGGAGUAUGUGGCUUAAUUCGAUGCAACGCGAAGAACCUUACCUGGCCUUGACAUGCAUCUCUAAGUUAGUGAAAGCUAGCGACUUGGUAGCAAUAUCAAGAAUUUGCACAGGUGCUGCAUGGUCUGUCGUCAGCUCGUGUCGUGAGAUGUUGGGUUUAACGUCCGCAACGAGCGCAACCCCUGUGUCCUGUUGCCCGCGAAGGGAUCUCUGGACAGACUGCCCUGUAGGAAACGGGGAGGAAGGUGGGGAUGACGUCAAGUCAGUAUGGCCCGUUACGGCCGAGGGCUGCACACGUACUACAUGCUCAGAACAGAAUGAACCAAACCGCGAGGUGGAGGAAUCGAUAAUCUGAGCUCAGUUCGGAUUGGA
rnacentral:rRNA from 1 species